rnacentral:lncRNA from 1 species
ACAGGCUAUGUCAAAGUGGGAUGACAUGCAUACUAGCUCUUUUAGACUUAGGGGUACGAUGCGUUAUCUAAGCGCCCCGAGCUUCAGAGUCACCCUUGGACUUUAUUUCAAGGAGUUUAUAAGUACCCCAGAGUUACCAACCUUAUCUAGACACAUCUAUCACUUAGCUCCACUCUUUUGGUUUGAGAUCGCUGAAACUGUGGCACAGUACAACCCGAGCUAGUCAAAGGCAACUUGUCUUCUUCCGGCCCUAUGUUAUAUUCAUGCCAUUCUGGCCUAUACACUGAUUGGUCGGAGGGAGAGUACGGGGAUUGUUGGUAUGGCUGACGCUUAUUUCCUAUAGAGUGUGGAGACGCACCACCUUAUCGAUGUCAUCUAUUUUGUGGCUCUCAGUUGUCGUCAUUUGUCUGAUCGAAGUAGGAAGGGCCCUUACAUGAUUCGAUUGGCGAGAUACUUCAAGCUUCUUAGUACUUUGGAGCAGACUUCCUCAUUCACUGUAACACCCCGAAAUCUAAAUAUUUGAUUUAUUUUGUUAAAUUCAGUCAAAAGUUAAAUGAUUUUAUUUAGCGGUUAAGUGCUUUAGAUAUGUGAUUGAGGUUGUGUGUUCGAAUCCAUGUGGGAGCAUUUUUUUGCUAAUUUCUUUAUAUGUUGAUCAACUAGUAAAAGUUGGAGUUAAAAUUUAACUCUAGGGAAUCUGUUGGAUAUGGAUUAGAUCUUUGGGUUAGCGGGUAGUCAGAUUUUGAUUUAUUUUUAUUUUAUCUUAUUUCCUUUUUGAAAAUUAAUUAGUUUUAAGCAAAAUCUUCCCUAAUUCUUUCUGAUGUAUGCUAUCCACAUUCUCUUUUCUUUUCUUUUUGCCGUUUCUAUUUUCCUACUUUUCCAAUUUUGUUUUUCAAUCGUUUUAUUUUUUUUUCUUUCGGUUGGCCUCAACUUCUUCUACUUCUUUGUUAUUUUUUUAUUUCUCAAUUAUAACCAUUUAUCUCUUUGGGUUCCUUUUCCUCUUGUGGCCAUCUCCGUGUCAUUGUUUCUUUGCCGUUCGCUUCUUGGUUUUGUGUUGGCUACUCGUGGUUAGGAAGUUCUGGUUUGGUAAGCGAGUUUUCGUUGGUAUUUUUCGUUUAUUGCGUUUUAUCUUAUCUUAGGUUGGUGUGUAACUUCGGAUGAUUUUUUUUGUUCGAUGGGUCGUAGGGCUAAUAAAGUUUGAGAAAUCAUUUUUAGGUGAGAAUCUGGAGGCAAACCCUCCUUCGACAAUUUAGUUUUGUAGAAGUUGCAAGUUCUUUGAUUGCGGGUAAUUGGUCAAUUACUUUUGGGAGCAUAAUGUUUGAUAUUUUAGAAAAUCGAGCACUUUAAUCUUUUAAUCGAUGCACUAGUGAGGGCUAAUUCUCUAAAGUGUUUGAUGCUUUUAAGUACUAGAAUAUUCAAUUUUUUGGGGUUUAUAUUAGAAAAUAUCCAGGUGUAUAACGAAAACCCGAGAAAAUAGCGAACGAAAAAAAAUUAAAAUCUAAAACUGUCGAUGCCACAUGGUCAUGUGCUAGACCGUGUGAGCCACACGGGCAUGUCUGAGACUGUGUGGGUGACACGGGCUGGCCAAGUAGGCUGUGUGGGCUAUAGGGCGUAUGGGCCCAAAAUCUGAAUUUUUCACCUAGGGUCAUAUUUGCCAUACGAGUCGAAUGUAGGCCUUUGAUAUUCUUAGCUCUAGGGAAUCUGUUGGAGUUAAAACAUAUUAUACAUAUAAAAAUUAUUAAUCAUGUGUACAUAAAUCAAAUUUACCACUUAAAGAACAUUAAAGUUCAUGUUUUGUAUCUUUUGUUAUAAGUAUGUAUGUCAUAUACAUUUUCGAUAUCUUUUAUUUCUGCAUGUGUAUUCGAGUGGGAUAUAUGUUUGCGGAGGAAGUGCGGGCAGCUUAAUCUCUCUAUUGUAUCUGGUUGCUCUGCCAGACAUAUAUUUCUGUUACUGGCGAAUUAUCACUUUAAGAUCUGAUAGCUAGACUACAAAUGUUUUGAAAAGUGACACAAUCGUUAAACAGUGUGUAGGGCUGGAUGAGUAUAUAAUACCCUAUAUGGUGUGUAGCGGAUGAGGGUAAGAUUGUGAUUCUACAUUUGAUAUGUUCUAUUUCUGCUCUUAUAAAUAUAUUUGAAUGAUUUUUGAAAGCGUAUAUGAAAUUAAAUUUGUACUUCUAUUUUUAUAAGUUACACAUUGAGCUUGAAAGCUCACCUCUAUCUGUUUACUUUCAGGUAAUCCUCAAACAUAAGUAGGUCGAUGCAACAAGAGCUUGCUUAUUUAUUACUGUUGCAUAUUUUUAAGCUAUUCAUAUUUAAUCUGGUUGCUCAUAGACUAUUUUUAGACUAUUUUUUAAAGUUUGGAUUUUAUUUUUUUUCUCGUUUAUUAAGUAUUUCAACAUAUUUCUUAUGGUAUUUAUUUUAUUCACAAAACCAUGGUUUUCCAACAACAAGUUGCAUUUUACAAUAUUGAACUAAAUUAAGAAUUUCAUUGCAAACUUAAAUGUUGCAAAAGCAUAAAUAAUUAAUAGUUUCAUCAAACUAGUUAAUAAAUAUAUUUUCUCUUAUAAACUGUAUUUUUACUUAGUAAGAGCUAGUGUCAUUUUUACAAGUCAAACAGACUCUAGAUUUUCAAAUUAGUUGUGAUAACUUCUCCAGAUCUGGCUAUAAUAUCUAGACCGAGUUUGGGGUGUUACAUUCACAUUGACUGGACAAAUGAUCUCAUAAGAAUUAUCUCUAUGAGCCAUAUGAGUAUGAUCCAGCGCCAACAUAGAGCAAGUACCCAUCGAUAUAUUCCAUCUGGAUCCCCAGGAUGAGCAUGAGGAGCUUCUGAAUGAUGAUCUUCCUUGACACACAAACCUGACUCGAUCCUUUCCUCUGUUGAGUCACUCUAUUGCUGCACAUUCUGUUACACUCGACAACAUUUACGAACGGAUUGAUCACUUUGAGCAGCAACGGUCUAAUCGGAUUGACCACUUUGAUCGGCGACAGACAGAGCAAAUGGAUCACCUCGAGCAGUUACAUUUUGAGCACGUUGCACAGUAGUCGACUUAGAUCGAUAGCAUUAAGGCGUAUUUGUAGUAGAUAUGCCAAAAUUUUCAUAUUUCUCCACCCAAUGCUUCGUCUCGCGAUUCUGACUUAACACUUUCCGCUGAUCACUAAUUUAUUUUAGUUUUCUGUUUUAGUUAUUUUAUUUUUGAGACAUAUAUGCUUUGUUUUUUGUUUAUUAUGCACUAUUAUUUUUAUUAUUUUAUAGGUUGUUUGCUUUUCUAGUUGUUAUCUCUUUUUCUUAUUUAUUUUUGUCUAUUUUCUUAUUAGUUUGAUUAGAAACAUGUAUUUCAUGUAAAAUCCUCUAAGAUUUCGAUUUUCACUAUUCUGAGGAAUUCAUCUAAAUUCAAGGCAAUUUCAGUUCUCUCCCUCCCUUUUGAUAUUGUGCUUAUUCUAUUUAUAUAUGUUUGUACAUCAAGGGCAAUGUACAUCUUAAGUAUGGGGAGGUUGUUUAUUUUUUUAUGCGAUAUAGGCC